rnacentral:rRNA from 1 species
AUGUGGGCUAUAUGGUGGGCUCGGCGGAAAGCUAUCCAUGACAAUGAGUAUCAAAGUCCACUUUCAACGUUCAGUUUCGUCAAUCGAUAUCUCGAUGAACUUGAAGUGGCAAAUCUUGGAAGAACGACGACUACAAGUCCGGCUGUCCAGCAGAGGCCAGCAAGAUGGCGGCCACCUGAAGAUGAGGCGUGUGUGAAGAUAAAUGUGGAUGGCGCUAUCUCUCGCCGAGGAACCACAGGGGCGGCAGCGGCAGUUUGCAGAGGUAGACUUGGAAAUUAUCUGGGAGCUUCGGCAAUUGUUCUUGAUGGACUGGUCGAUACACCAAGCCUAGAAGCCCACGCAUGCAAUGAAGCUCUUGUUCUAGCAAGGGAUCUCAAUAUUUCACAUGCGAUAGUAGCAUCGGACUGCAUGCAAGUCGUCACAGAUAUCAAGCAAGGUGCUAGCUCCUCGUAUGCUUUUCUGCUUAGAGAGAUUAAUGAGAGGAUGAAUGAUUUUGUAAAAAUUACCUUCUGUUUUGAGAGGAGGGAGUCGAACUUUGAGGCGCAUGCUUUGGCUAAGGCAGCGUCGUCGCUCCCGGCGGGUCGCCACAUGUGGCUAGGGAUCCUCCCUGAUAUCAUUUGUAUUCCUUCCGUGUUGAACUUUGAAUAA